GUAGUCGGGGCUUAGUGGUUAAGGUGAUGGGCUAGAAAUCCAUUGGGGUUUCUCUGUGCAGGUUUGGUUCCUGCUGACUAAG
rnacentral:tRNA from 1 species